GUAGUCAUAUGCUUGUCUCAAAGAUUAAGCCAUGCAUGUCUGAGUAUAAGCACUCUUGUACCGCGAAACUGCGAAUGGCUCAUUAAAUCAGUUAUCGUUUAUUUGAUAGUACCCUACUACAUGGAUACCUGUGGUAAUUCUAGAGCUAAUACAUGCGCCAAGCCCCGACUUCGGAAGGGGUGUAUUUAUUAGAUAAAAAACCAAUGCCCCUCGGGGCUCCUUGGUGAUUCAUAAUAACUUCACGAAUCGCAUGGCCUUGCGCCGGCGAUGGUUCAUUCAAAUUUCUGCCCUAUCAACUUUCGAUGGUAGGAUAGUGGCCUACCAUGGUGGCAACGGGUAACGGGGAAU
rnacentral:rRNA from 1 species